UGUUUAAGAUAGGGCUAUUGAUUUAACGGCCGCUGAUGGACCCUUAGAGUUUGACCCUGGCUACCACCGAACGUUGGCGGCGUGGAUACGACAUGCACGUCGAGCGCCUAUUGCAGGGUAGUAAUCUUCUGCACUCGGAGCGCCUCCCGGGGGCUUGACACCUGGGUAGUCUGCCAUGAAAUUUGGGAUAACUUGCUGAAAGGCCAGCUAAUACGCGAUGUGAUAAGUGGGAGGCCUCUCCUGAUUCUCAGAGUUGGAGACCGAACGGCCUGACGCUUCGUGAUUAGCCCUCGGCCUAUCAGCUAGUUCCUAAGGUAACGGGUUACCAAGGAUAUUACCGGUAUCUGGUCUUAGAGGACGACCAGACACACUGGAACUGAGACACGGUCCAGACACCUACGGGUGGCAGCAGUCGAGAAUUUUUCACAAUGGGGGAAACCCUGAUGGAGCGACGCCGCGUGGGGGAUGAAUGGCUUCGGCCCGUAAACCCCUGUCAUUUGCGAUCAACCCUUAUUAUUUAAAAGAUGAUAAGCUGAUAGUAGCGAAAGAGGAAGGGACGGCUAACUCUGUGCCAGCAGCCGCGGUAAUACAGAGGUCCCAAGCGUUGUUCGGAUUCACUGGGCGUAAAGGGUGCGUACGUGGCGAGGUAAGUCGGAUGUGAAAGCUCGGAGCUCAACUCCGAAAUGGCAUUGGACACUACCUUGCUCGAGGGUUGGAGGGGGGACUGGAAUACUUGGUGUAGCAUUGAAAUGAGUAGAUAUCAAGUGGAACACCAGGUGUCGAAGGCGAGUUCCUGGACGACGCCUGACACUCUGCACGAAAGCUAGGGGAGCAACAUGGAUGAGC
rnacentral:rRNA from 1 species